rnacentral:rRNA from 11 species
UGUGAUGACCUAAAUAUCUUGAACACAACAGAUCCUGUCUCAUCUUGAAGCUAAGUAAGCUUCAUCCCUGUUUAAUAUUUGAAUGGGAAGCUACCAAGGAAUCCCAGAUGCCAUCAGCA